GGAGCUGGCGCCGGUGGGUGGGGCAUCAAGUCGAACCAGUAGCAGAGCUCCGAGACUGGUGGGGGCGUGGACUGCGUAUUCUGCCUGGCAACAGUCAGACGUUAAUACAUCAAACGUUAUAGGCUUCGCGUGUGAGAAAGCGGUGUGACUGACAGAUCUCUCAGCCAAUAGGAUGCGUCUGCUGGCUGCUCUGCUCCCAACUAACUGGAUGAUGGUUCGAUGGGCAUCACCGGACAGAAACAGGCGCUCGUGAUAUAUGACUACGCGGUAUAUCACCAUGGUCUGUCAAGAAGAGGCCGCUGUUUUAAUAAUGAACUACCAAACCAACCUAAAAAAAAUGUGUUGUAGGCUGAUUUAGUCUACUUGAAUAAACCAGGUGAGGCAAUUUGUACUUCACCUCGAGUGAG